CUACGUGCCAGCAGCCGCGGUAAUACGUAGGUCCCGAGCGUUGUCCGGAUUUAUUGGGCGUAAAGCGAGCGCAGGCGGUUAGAUAAGUCUGAAGUUAAAGGCUGUGGCUUAACCAUAGUACGCUUUGGAAACUGUUUAACUUGAGUGCAAGAGGGGAGAGUGGAAUUCCAUGUGUAGCGGUGAAAUGCGUAGAUAUAUGGAGGAACACCGGUGGCGAAAGCGGCUCUCUGGCUUGUAACUGACGCUGAGGCUCGAAAGCGUGGGGAGCAAACAGGAUUAGAUACCCUGGUAGUCCACGCCGUAAACGAUGAGUGCUAGGUGUUAGACCCUUUCCGGGGUUUAGUGCCGCAGCUAACGCAUUAAGCACUCCGCCUGGGGAGUACGACCGCAAGGUUGAAACUCAAAGGAAUUGACGGGGGCCCGCACAAGCGGCGGAGCAUGCGGAUUAAUUCGAUGCAACGCGAAGAACCUUACCAAGGCUUGACAU
rnacentral:rRNA from 1 species